AAGCUAAAUAAACGUUUUAACAUCUUCUAAAGACAAUUUCCUACCUAAAUGCAAAGUCUGAGAGACGUGGUUCACUUCCUUUAGCUAGUCAGUCGGCAAUUCUGCAACAGUGGCUCUAACUGACGCAGCACUUGACAGACAGCAUUACAGCGUGAAAUCCAGCUUGUGAACAGGUUCUGUAAGGAAUUCUGUUCAGGAGGUCGCAUUUCAGGCUCUCCACAUCAUGUGUGACUGACUUUUACGUUAUAAUGAUCACACACUAGGAAUGUUAUAAAGCGCCUAUAUAGGACAGUUUCUUUUGUAUAUUAUCUGACUUUAUAAACUCCCAACAACAAUGUGCUUAUAUAUUUUUUUCAGGCUAAAUCUACCCAAGACACUGGCUGUCAGACUGAUUUAGCUGCAAGAAUGCACUUGUCCAGGCUGACGUGAAACCUUCCCUGUAGCAAAGCCAGCCAGAAUGGAGUUCACAGCCGCAGUGUGUCUGGUGACCCACGGGGACCAUGAUGAAAAUUCAUCUUCCAGAAGGUCCCAGAGCAGCGGCCACACCCCCUGAAGAGACCAAGGUGUGAGGUGUCUGCUGUUGAUUCCAGCUUCCACCUCAGUGACAGUGCAAGCUCAGUGAACUGUUCAAGGUAAAAAAAAAUUAAAACAUUUCAGAAUUUUUAAGAUAUUAACAAUUAAAUAAGUAUGUGAUUACAUCAUGACGGAGGCUACUGAUUCUGCUCCCGUGACACUUGGUGGUGACGUGUGAGCUGAUUCACCUGGAAAACAACUUUUACAUUAAAUAUUUUGUUUUUGCUAUCAAAAGUAAAUUAACUAAUAACCUGCAUUAUUGCAGGACACUCAGCAAAAUAUGGACUCUACACCAUGAGGCAGGCACACGUUAAUAACUAUAAGAGCACAUAAGCCUGGCUGAUCACCUGAUAACUCCUGUCAUCUGGUUAUGACAGCAUGAGGAUGUCCUCACACACCUGUAACCUACCAGCUCAUCUGGCAGAAUAGAGAGAGAAGAGACAACACCACAUCUCCUGUUCCUGGAAAGCCUUCAGCCAUCCUUCGAUGACUGAGAACCUCCAUCAGC